rnacentral:rRNA from 1 species
AGCGCGCGCGUUGGGACCGAAAGAUGGUGAACUAUGCCUGGCCAGGACGAAGUCAGGGGAAACCCUGAUGGAGGUCCGUA